UUUUGGCCAGGAUAGAAAAAAUGAUGUUUUCGGGGAAAGAUCCAUUCACAAAGUGGAUAAAGGUCUUAGUAAGAUGAGUCUCCGUAUUAUGUAUAAUACGGCCAUGGCUGAGUCUAAGCAUUCCCAAAAAUUAAAAAAUACCAAAUGUAUGAAACCUCAGUUAUGUGUGAGCAUGGGCUGAUUAGUCAUUAGUCCAUCGAGAUGUCUUAUUUAAGGGGAAAGAGUGGGCGAUUUUAGGUGAGAUGGUCCUGAAGUAAGAACCAGAUGCCUGUUAAAGUUCAUUAAUAGAAACCCCCACGGUCCAUGGGCCCGGAGCGAGAAGAGGGAUCCCUGCCAAGCGGGUUGCUGGUUUCACGCGGCAUGGUAAUUAAGCUCGUGAUCUAGUGGUGGUGAUAUGCGUGUUGACUGGAAUGUAUUUGACAUGAUAUGUGCUAUGUACGAUUAAUAAUAAUAUGUACUAUGUAAUAUUAAUAAUAGUAUGUACAUGCUUAUAUGCAUGGGGACUAGCAAUUAAUGCACGACGUACAUAGGGUUAUAAUAUACUGAAUUAUGGUUUUUUUAAUAGUUAAAUUUUUGGAGUUGCAUAUUUGUAUGUUUAUGCGGAAUUUUUGUGGGUUUUUUUGUUUUAAAGAUAGUAAUGAAUGUUUGUUUUGGUUGGCAGGGAAUAGUUUAGUUAGAAUUUCAGCUUUGGGUGCUGAUGGCGGAGUUAGUCUCCUUCCUUGAGUCUUGGGGAGGGGUGGUCCUCCUUUUCUGGUUUACAAGACCAGGGUAUUUGAUAUACUACAAAGACUCUUCAUUUUAAGAGGUUGUUUUCGAUGAUGCUAGUGAUUGGUAUUAGUACUAGAAUAAUUAGGAAGUAUAGGAUAGAGGCUAAUUGACCAAUGACGAUGAAUGGGUGUUCUACGGGUUGUCCUCCGAUUCAUGUUAGUGCGAUAAGGUCUGCUACUAGUACUCAAAAUAGGCAUUGGCUUAGUGGUCGAAAUAUUAUGCUUCGUUGUUUGGAUGUGUGUAGUAUGGGUGAAAUGGAAUUUUGUCUAUGUCUGAUGAAAUUCCAGUGGGGUUGUUGGAUCCGGUUUCGUGCAGGAAUAGGAGAUGUACGGUUGCGAGGGCAGCGAUGAUGAAGGGCAGAAUAAAGUGGAAGGCGAAGAAUCGUGUGAGGGUUGC
rnacentral:lncRNA from 1 species